AAAGGGAGACCUAAUUCAGGUAGGAGACGAAAAAAAAGUAGUCCCUACCAAGAAUCAAUCCCAAAAGGUCGGAACGAGGCAUGUGGCUUUCAAACUAGGUUCUGGGUUCAAACAAGACCUGAAUCAGGAACAAGGGCUAUUAGCUCAGGUGGUUAGAGCGCACCCCUGAUAAGGGUGAGGUCCCUGGUUCGAGUCCAGGAUGGCCCACCUGCACAGGUGGCAAAAACAAAGAAGCGAGGAAUCAGCACCUUAUCUUACUCAUAUAGUAAGAGAGAAUGCUGGCUCUGAGUAAAGAGUCCAGAGGAACCUUGAAAACUGCAUAGAGCUAGGUGAAAAAGCCAAAAAAGAAGACCGCAAG
rnacentral:tRNA from 1 species